rnacentral:rRNA from 1 species
UAUGAGAGUUUGAUCCUGGCUCAGGACGAACGCUGGCGGCGUGCCUAAUACAUGCAAGUCGAACGCUUCUUUCCUCCCGAGUGCUUGCACUCAAUUGGAAAGAGGAGUGGCGGACGGGUGAGUAACACGUGGGUAACCUACCCAUCAGAGGGGGAUAACACUUGGAAACAGGUGCUAAUACCGCAUAACAGUUUAUGCCGCAUGGCAUAAGAGUGAAAGGCGCUUUCGGGUGUCGCUGAUGGAUGGACCCGCGGUGCAUUAGCUAGUUGGUGAGGUAACGGCUCACCAAGGCCACGAUGCAUAGCCGACCUGAGAGGGUGAUCGGCCACACUGGGACUGAGACACGGCCCAGACUCCUACGGGAGGCAGCAGUAGGGAAUCUUCGGCAAUGGACGAAAGUCUGACCGAGCAACGCCGCGUGAGUGAAGAAGGUUUUCGGAUCGUAAAACUCUGUUGUUAGAGAAGAACAAGGACGUUAGUAACUGAACGUCCCCUGACGGUAUCUAACCAGAAAGCCACGGCUAACUACGUGCCAGCAGCCGCGGUAAUACGUAGGUGGCAAGCGUUGUCCGGAUUUAUUGGGCGUAAAGCGAGCGCAGGCGGUUUCUUAAGUCUGAUGUGAAAGCCCCCGGCUCAACCGGGGAGGGUCAUUGGAAACUGGGAGACUUGAGUGCAGAAGAGGAGAGUGGAAUUCCAUGUGUAGCGGUGAAAUGCGUA